rnacentral:rRNA from 1 species
UACGUAGGGAGCAAGCGUUGUCCGGAUUUACUGGGUGUAAAGGGUGCGUAGGCGGCUUUGCAAGUCAGAAGUGAAAUCCAUGGGCUUAACCCAUGAACUGCUUUUGAAACUGCAGAGCUUGAGUGGAGUAGAGGUAGGCGGAACUCCCGGUGUAGCGGUGAAAUGCGUAGAGAUCGGGAGGAACACCAGUGGCGAAGGCGGCCUGCUGGGCUCUAACUGACGCUGAGGCACGAAAGCGUGGGUAGCAAACAGG